UAAUGUUUGUUUGCUUUUUAAAUAUUUGCUCGUAGUCUGCAUGUAUUGUGAGCUUUUUUAUACUGUUCUAUCACCAAACAUUUUGCCCAUUUGAGGUUAAACGUUUAUAUUGAAUGGAGUUUAGAAACGAAUGUAUUUAGAUAACCAUUGCCCAGGUGUACUCCUUUAGUGUUGUCUCUGUGCUUUCUAACUUUGUUUCACCGCUUAUGAGUUUGAUACAGCAGCACUGAAAACAACUACAUGUAAAGACCUAACAAAAAGUGCUAAUAUAUUGGUCAGAUAGUAUAUUAGCAGAGUGUACAAUUGACAUACAUUUACAAAUUCUUACAAGAGAGGCAUCCUGGGCUUAAUAUUAAUCUAUUUUGCAGUCUAUUUUAUGAUAUGUAUUGAAGUGCUUCAUAAUUUUGGCUUGUGGAAUGUCACAGUGGUUUGUGGAUUAUGUCAGAACCCGUACCUUCAGUAGUGGUGUGAAAGAAGAAAGCAUGUUAUCUGAACUUUACCUCUUUCUGAAUUUCAGAGGAAAUACUUUCCUCUUUAUGAGAUGGGUUGUUUUGUUGGCUUUUUUUUUUUUUUUUUUUUUUUUUUUGUUAAAGAAGUAAUACAGAGCAUUUAAGAAAUCUUUACUCUGAUUUUGGGAGUAAUUUGUAGUAAAACUGCCAGAAGUACCUCACUUCAGAACUGAAGUUCUGUUCCCUCUUUAGGCAUUUGCUUAUAAAUUAUUUUUGAAAAUCACACAUGGUCUGCUAAGUGAAUGAAGAACCUGGGAACUUGCUAUAGUUGAUCCAUAACAAAAUCCAUUUAUAUUCAAUCUUCUAGCAGCAUCCAGAGAGUGUUUCACACAAAGAUAGAAAAAUAAAAGUGACAAAACUAAAAAAAAAAAAAAAAUUAAAAA